UGGUCUGCAUGGCUGGAGAAACCCUGA
rnacentral:piRNA from 1 species